rnacentral:rRNA from 1 species
UCGCAAUAGCUCUUCUUGAUUCUAUGGGUGGUGGUGCAUGGCCGUUCUUAGUUGGUGGAGUGAUUUGUCUGGUUAAUUCCGAUAACGAACGAGACCUUAACCUGCUAACUAGUUUGCUUCUGAACAAGAGGUAUAACUUCUUAGAGGGACUAUGUGUUUUAAAUACAUGGAAGUUUAAGGCAAUAACAGGUCUGUGAUGCCCCUAGACGUCCUGGGCCGCACGCGCGCUACACUGACAUGUUCAGCGAGCUAUUUUACCUGUCCCGAAAGGGCACGGGAAAUCUUGUUAGGACAUGUCGUGCUGGGGAUAGAUCUUUGCAAUUAUAGAUCUUGAACGAGGAAUUCCUUGUAAGCACAGGUCAUCAGCCUGUGCUGAAUACGUCCCUGCCCUUUGUACACACCGCCCGUCGCUCCUACCGAUUUCGAGUGAUGUGGUGAACUAUCUGGACUGCGGAUGGGCUUGAACCAUUUGCGGGAAGUUUCGUAAACCUUAUCACUUAGAGGAAGGAGAAGUCGUAACAAGGUUUCCGUAGGUGAACCUGCAGAAGGAUCUUUCUUCCAUCAUCACUAUCCGGGUGGCCCAAGCGGCAUCCCGCCCACCGGGUGCCCGGGGUACGUAGUCACUGACUCCCCUCGGUGCUUGUACAUGAAGGGUCUAUUUCCUUUUGAUACCACCAUUUCCCCCGCGGGAUGAAAAAAAAAAGAACGAUCCCUGCCCAA